UUCUUUCUUAAUGAAAAAAGAAUGCAGCAUUUCCCACUCCCGAAAAACCAGCUGGAAUGAAUCAUUUAUUGCAAAGUGGGGGGGGGAGCUUAAUCCUUAUUUUCCUAGGAGGUGUUGUGACCGAGGCACAAGUAGCUAUUACCAGACACAAUCAGUCCUAAACAAACAUAUUUUAUUAGUCCACAUUAAGUCCAAAACAAAGGCCUUCAUAAAAAGUCCUUCGGCCUUAUCACAAACCUUUGUCUUCUUUGGCAAGAACCCCAUGAAUUUCAUAAACAGGAGACAAGAAACAGGAAAGCAAUGUUGCUUUCCUACAAAGCACCCAAGAGCUGUUGCUGCUCUUUUAAGCCUUAUGGGAGGGGUCAAUCAUCUCCUGGCCUUACUCCCGAGUCAUCCUUUUUGCUUUAGCUGCUCUUGCCUUCUGGCAGCUCUUUGCAUGUGUGCACUAGGAACAGGCUCCUCCUGAUCCUCUGCCUCUCUGCUGUCCACCUCUGGAGGCUCCGGGGUCUGUGCAUCACUCCCAGAUGGCUGUGGCCCCAUCUCUACCUCCGACGCAGAGCCCUCGUCUGGGCUUUCCCCUGAUUCCAGGACUGACCCAUUGUCCUCCCCAGCCUCUUCACUGUCUGACUCCACUGCCAGCUUUGCAGGCUGCUGAUGGACCACAACAGGAGAGGCUGCUCAGGAUUGCCGGCUUGACUCUUUUCUAGCUUCACCUGAAGAUGCUUAUCUGCCCAAAUUUGAAGCAAGACAAUUGUACAUUACCAAAGAAGAAGGAAAUAUCCAUAAUGAGGAAAGAAGAAUAAAUCCAUAAUGAGGAAAGAAGAAUAAACAAAUCUCUCUCAGCAACAGAAAGCCAGAAAUUCCAUCUAGAACAAUCUACCAGAUCCCGUGUAAUUUAGAUAGGCCUCAAGAUUUCCAUUAAGCUUUGUAGUUCCACAGAUUUGGAAAAGCAUAAAGCCACAACAUUUGUAGCUUGAUCGACCCUCACAUUGCUUUUUUGUAUUUGUGAUCCAGAUUGCCAUAUGGCCAUCAGCAGCUGGCCUGGUUAGCCUAUGUUCCUCCUUAAAAGAAGACCUGCCAAGGAUAGGAUACCAGAAGAUGCAGACUUUGCUACUGAGAUGAAAUGACAGCAGCUUCAGCCAACUUUCAGCCCACACUCUUUCCAAAAUAAAUUUAUUUACAGUUCUUUUUUUCUUUUCAGGAUUUUGUUCAUUUCAUUUCCUCAGCUUUGAAAAGAAGUAGACACCUUGACAGCUAUCAGAUGAACACAUACCCAAAAUGCAUCAUUUGCCUCUCUACACCUUUCCUUCCUUCCCUCUUUCCUUGGCAAACAAAGUGAAGAUGCAGGCACAUCUUCAAGAAGAGAGAAAUUGGACACCCAGAAAAGUUCAGGCCACCAUUUAUUAUUUUUGCCACAAAUCUGGCAACAUUUUCCUGGGAACAUUUCAUUUCAAGUGCUCUGGGGUUUCCAGCUUUAUGCACACUUAUUCUCCAAACGCCCAUUUUUAUCCAUGUGGUGUUUAAAAAUAAUUAUUCUAAAUACAUCUAGAGACCCUGAAGAACUUCCAGAUAUUAUGGUGCUCUAGAAAGAAGAAAACACAGAUAUCCAAUUUCCCGAAUCCUUUAAGCUUCAGAACAGUUGAAUAUGUGUACAGACCCAAUCUUGGGUCACUUGACUCCCUCAAGUUAUGCUUAUUUCUUGGUAACACUUUCGCACAUCUUCGUAACUUUUUGGCAACACACCUGAACAGCCUUCUUUGGGGAUGUCUUUUUAACUUCUCUGUUUAACGUACAGUUUUGGGAUUUUCCUUUGGGUCUCAUGUCAAAGUACUAACUAUAGCUAACCUUUCAUUCUGUUGUGGUCAGCCAAGAAUAGUAAUUACUGACAGGAUGGAAAAGUAGCUUCUUGACUAGCUUCAUGGAAAUAUCAGCUGUGACAAUGAUUAUCUUGUGAUUUCUUAUAAUUAGAAAAGAACCACUUUCUUCUAUCAGUAAGUUCUUGUGUUUAUAUGCGCCUUUUGUGCAUCUGUGUACCAACAUAGCUAAUUAAUAGGAAAAAUGCUUUCAUCAUGUAUUUUGUUCCCAUUUCCAGUCCUAAACAUUACCUAGAAUGGUAGGAUGGAUGUUAUAGGUGAUAAUUAUGUGAAGUUGGUCAGGGGGGGCACUUUCUAUGAAUACUGUUUUCCAUCUCAUUUCUUAUGGUUGUCAUGGAAAUAAUCAUAGAAGCGGUCACCAUGCCACUUAUUCCACCCACUAAUCAUCACUGUAUUAUUGGAAUCCAUCCAGUUACAGUCAUUAACUGUAGUUAUCGGUUGCUCUUAGCAGAGCUGGAAUUUCUGCAGAAACUCAAAAUGAAGUUCAGCAGCUAUGGCUAGCAUUUCUAGAUCAUCCAUUGUUUAUGCUGCAAAUUCUAUGUCAUUUAGCUGUUUUAUCCUACAGUAUUCUUAAAGGUAUCUGGUAUGCAGAAAUAUAUGAUUGAAUUUCAAAUCAGCUCAUUGUCAUGGUGUAGAGCAGGGGUGUCAAACUUGUGUCACCAUGGCAUCAUCACGUGAUGUAUCGGUACUUCCCCACCCUUUGCUAAACCAGGCAUGGGCAUGGCCAGCGUGUGACGCAUCCAGCUUGCGGGCUACAAGUUUGACAGCCCUGGUGGUGAAUCUGGGCGAGGGGUUGGACUAGCUGACCUAUGAGGUCCCUUUCUAACUCUGUUAUUCUGUU